GGUCAAGCAACAAAAGGCGCACGGUGGAUGCCUUGGCACGAGGAGGCGAUGAAGGACGUGGUAAGCUGCGAUAAGCCCGGGGGAGCCGCAUACAGGCCGUGAUCCCGGGAUCUCCGAAUGGGGAAACCCACGAGGGCGUGAGCCCUCGGAUCCGCGCAAGCGGAAGCCAACCCGGGGAACUGAAACAUCUCAUUACCCGGAGGAAAAGAAAGCAACCGCGAUUCUCCUAGUAGCGGCGAGCGAACGGGGAACAGCCCAAACCGAUCCGGCUUGCCGGGUCGGGGUUGUGGGACCGCGACAUGGGACCGGAGGGGCGAGCCGAAGCGGUUUGGAAAACCGCGCCAGAGACGGUGACAGCCCGGUACGCGAAGUUCCGAUGGCCCUAGCGGCAUCCCGAGUACCGCGGGACACGAGUAAUCCUGCGGGAAGCUGGGGGGACCACCCUCCAAGGCUAAAUACUCCCUCGUGACCGAUAGUGAACCAGUACCGUGAGGGAAAGGUGAAAAGUACCCCGGGAGGGGAGUGAAACAGAUCUUGAAACCGCGUGCCUACGUGCAGUUGGAGCUCGUUACGACGAGUGACAGCGUGCCUAUUGAAGAAUGAGCCGGUGAGUUACUCUACGU
rnacentral:rRNA from 1 species